AGGGGGGGCGUGCUAAUACAUGCAAGUCGAGCGGACAGAUGGGAGCUUGCUCCCUGAUGUUAGCGGCGGACGGGUGAGUAACACGUGGGUAACCUGCCUGUAAGACUGGGAUAACUCCGGGAAACCGGGGCUAAUACCGGAUGGUUGUUUGAACCGCAUGGUUCAGACAUAAAAGGUGGCUUCGGCUACCACUUACAGAUGGACCCGCGGCGCAUUAGCUAGUUGGUGAGGUAACGGCUCACCAAGGCGACGAUGCGUAGCCGACCUGAGAGGGUGAUCGGCCACACUGGGACUGAGACACGGCCCAGACUCCUACGGGAGGCAGCAGUAGGGAAUCUUCCGCAAUGGACGAAAGUCUGACGGAGCAACGCCGCGUGAGUGAUGAAGGUUUUCGGAUCGUAAAGCUCUGUUGUUAGGGAAGAACAAGUGCCGUUCAAAUAGGGCGGCACCUUGACGGUACCUAACCAGAAAGCCACGGCUAACUACGUGCCAGCAGCCGCGGUAAUACGUAGGUGGCAAGCGUUGUCCGGAAUUAUUGGGCGUAAAGGGCUCGCAGGCGGUUUCUUAAGUCUGAUGUGAAAGCCCCCGGCUCAACCGGGGAGGGUCAUUGGAAACUGGGGAACUUGAGUGCAGAAGAGGAGAGUGGAAUUCCACGUGUAGCGGUGAAAUGCGUAGAGAUGUGGAGGAACACCAGUGGCGAAGGCGACUCUCUGGUCUGUAACUGACGCUGAGGAGCGAAAGCGUGGGGAGCGAACAGGAUUAGAUACCCUGGUAGUCCACGCCGUAAACGAUGAGUGCUAAGUGUUAGGGGGUUUCCGCCCCUUAGUGCUGCAGCUAACGCAUUAAGCACUCCGCCUGGGGAGUACGGUCGCAAGACUGAAACUCAAAGGAAUUGACGGGGGCCCGCACAAGCGGUGGAGCAUGUGUUUUAAUUCGAAGCAACGCGAAGAACCUUACCAGGUCUUGACAUCCUCUGACAUCCUAGAGAUAGGACGUCCCCUUCGGGGGCAGAGUGACAGUGUGCAUGCUUGUCGUCAGCUCGUGUCGUGAAGAUGUUGGGUUAAGUCCCGCAACGAGGCGCAACCCUUGGA
rnacentral:rRNA from 1 species